GAUCGUCACGUGAUCGACGUUCAUUUCGGCAAGCUCAUCGACAUGGUCCGGCAGCGAGAGCCCGUUCGUGGAGAUGCAGAGUCUUA
rnacentral:sRNA from 1 species